rnacentral:rRNA from 1 species
AACGCUGGCGGCGUGCCUAAUACAUGCAAGUAGAACGCUGAAGAGAGGAGCUUGCUCUUCUUGGAUGAGUUGCGAACGGGUGAGUAACGCGUAGGUAACCUGCCUUGUAGCGGGGGAUAACUAUUGGAAACGAUAGCUAAUACCGCAUAACAAUGGAUGACACAUGUCAUUUAUUUGAAAGGGGCAAUUGCUCCACUACAAGAUGGACCUGCGUUGUAUUAGCUAGUAGGUGAGGUAAUGGCUCACCUAGGCGACGAUACAUAGCCGACCUGAGAGGGUGAUCGGCCACACUGGGACUGAGACACGGCCCAGACUCCUACGGGAGGCAGCAGUAGGGAAUCUUCGGCAAUGGGGGCAACCCUGACCGAGCAACGCCGCGUGAGUGAAGAAGGUUUUCGGAUCGUAAAGCUCUGUUGUAAGUCAAGAACGGGUGUGAGAGUGGAAAGUUCACACUGUGACGGUAGCUUACCAGAAAGGGACGGCUAACUACGUGCCAGCAGCCGCGGUAAUACGUAGGUCCCGAGCGUUGUCCGGAUUUAUUGGGCGUAAAGCGAGCGCAGGCGGUUUGAUAAGUCUGAAGUUAAAGGCUGUGGCUCAACCAUAGUUCGCUUUGGAAACUGUCAAACUUGAGUGCAGAAGGGGAGAGUGGAAUUCCAUGUGUAGCGGUGAAAUGCGUAGAUAUAUGGAGGAACACCGGUGGCGAAAGCGGCUCUCUGGUCUGUAACUGACGCUGAGGCUCGAAAGCGUGGGGAGCGAACAGGAUUAGAUACCCUGGUAGUCCACGCCGUAAACGAUGAGUGCUAGGUGUUGGAUCCUUUCCGGGAUUCAGUGCCGCAGCUAACGCAUUAAGCACUCCGCCUGGGGAGUACGACCGCAAGGUUGAAACUCAAAGGAAUUGACGGGGGCCCGCACAAGCGGUGGAGCAUGUGGUUUAAUUCGAAGCAACGCGAAGAACCUUACCAGGUCUUGACAUCCCGAUGCUAUUUCUAGAGAUAGAAAGUUACUUCGGUACAUCGGUGACAGGUGGUGCAUGGUUGUCGUCAGCUCGUGUCGUGAGAUGUUGGGUUAAGUCCCGCAACGAGCGCAACCCCUAUUGUUAGUUGCCAUCAUUCAGUUGGGCACUCUAGCGAGACUGCCGGUAAUAAACCGGAGGAAGGUGGGGAUGACGUCAAAUCAUCAUGCCCCUUAUGACCUGGGCUACACACGUGCUACAAUGGUUGGUACAACGAGUUGCGAGUCGGUGACGGCGAGCUAAUCUCUUAAAGCCAAUCUCAGUUCGGAUUGUAGGCUGCAACUCGCCUACAUGAAGUCGGAAUCGCUAGUAAUCGCGGAUCAGCACGCCGCGGUGAAUACGUUCCCGGGCCUUGUACACACCGCCCGUCACACCACGAGAGUUUGUAACACCCGAAGUCGGUGAGGUAACCUUUUGGAGCCAGCCGCCUAAGGUGGGACAGAUGAUUGGGGUGA